rnacentral:rRNA from 1 species
GGCAGGCAUAAUACAUGCAAGUGGAAGGAGAUUAGUUUUAGCAAUAGAACUAGUUUAGUGGCGCACGGGUGCGUAACGCGUAUGCAACCUACCUUAAACAGGGGAAUAGCCUCUCGAAAGAGAGAUUAAUACCGCAUAAUAUAUUUUUAGAGCAUUCUAGAAAUAUCAAACCUACGGGGGUUUAAGAUGGGCAUGCGUGACAUUAGCUAGUUGGUGAGGUAACGGCUCACCAAGGCAACGAUGUCUAGGGGGUCUGAGAGGAUGUCCCCCCACACUGGUACUGAGACACGGACCAGACUCCUACGGGAGGCAGCAGUAGGGAAUAUUGGUCAAUGGAGGCAACUCUGAACCAGCCAUGCCGCGUGCAGGACUAAGGCCCUAUGGGUCGUAAACUGCUUUUGAAUGGGAAGAAAUGUAUCUACGUGUAGAUAUUUGACGGUACCAUUAGAAUAAGGAUCGGCUAACUUCGUGCCAGCAGCCGCGGUAAUACGGAGGAUCCAAGCGUUAUCCGGAAUCAUUGGGUUUAAAGGGUCCGUAGGCGGUCUAAUAAGUCAGUGGUGAAAGCCCAUCGCUCAACGAUGGAACGGCCAUUGAUACUGUUAGACUUGAAUUACUGGGAAGUAACUAGAAUAUGUAGUGUAGCGGUGAAAUGCUUAGAUAUUACAUGGAAUACCAAUUGCGAAGGCAGGUUACUACCAGUGGAUUGACGCUGAUGGACGAAAGCGUGGGGAGCGAACAGGAUUAGAUACCCUGGUAGUCCACGCCGUAAACGAUGGAUACUAGCUGUUGGGCGCAAGUUCAGUGGCUAAGCGAAAGUGAUAAGUAUCCCACCUGGGGAGUACGUUCGCAAGAAUGAAACACAUAGGAAUU